GUCGUAACAAGGUUUCCGUAGGUGAACCUGCGGAAGGAUCAUUAAAUAAAUAUGAUAUAGUCAUCUUCUGGCUAUUAUCUAUUUUACUGUGAACUGUUGUUAUUACACAGCGCUUGAGGAAUGUCUGUUCUACUAUAUGGGUAGGUAGGAUAGAAUGUUAACCGAGCUGUGGUCAAGCUUAGGCUUGGUACCCAAUAUUAUACAAAUUUUCAAUUGAUCAGAUAUAAAUAUUGUAACAUAGAUGGUAAAACGUCUAUAAAACAACUUUUAACAAUGGAUCUCUUGGCUUUUGCAUCGAUGAAGAACGUAGCAAAUUGCGAUAACUAGUGUGAAUUGCAAAUUCAGUGAAUCAUCGAGUCUUUGAACGCAUCUUGCGCUCAUUGGUAUUCCAGUGAGCACGCCUGUUUCAGUAUCAAAAACAACCCACAUUCAUAAUUUUGUUGUGAAUGGUCAUGAAAGAAGCUAAGCUAGUAUUAGGUUGGCGACUUUUAAAAUAUAAUAAGGCCUGAACUUGUUCAUCAAGCUGAACUUUUUUUUAAUAUAAACCAAAGUUUUAGCGACUUGAACUUUAAUGGGGCCUCCCAAACAAAGCUUUUUUCAACUUGAUCUGAAAUCAGGUGGGACUACCCGCUGAACUUAAGCAUAUCAAUAAGCGGAGGAAAAGAAAAUAACAAUGAUUUCCCUAGUAACGGCGAGUG
rnacentral:rRNA from 1 species